CCUACGGGUGGCAGCAGUCGAGAAUCAUUCACAAUGGGGGAAACCCUGAUGGUGCGACGCCGCGUGGGGGAAUGAAGGUCUUCGGAUUGUAAACCCCUGUCAUGUGGGAGCAAAUUAAAAAGAUAGUACCACAAGAGGAAGAGACGGCUAACUCUGUGCCAGCAGCCGCGGUAAUACAGAGGUCUCAAGCGUUGUUCGGAAUCACUGGGCGUAAGGCGUGCGGAGGCUGUUUCGUAAGUCGUGUGUGAAAGGCGCGGGCUCAACCCGCGGACGGCACAUGAUACUGCGAGACUAGAGUAAUGGAGGGGGAACCGGAAUUCUCGGUGUAGCAGUGAAAUGCGUAGAUAGCGAGAGGAACACUCGUGGCGAAGGCGGGUUCCUGGACAUUAACUGACGCUGAGGCACGAAGGCCAGGGGAGCGAAAGGGAUUAGAUACCCCUGUAGUC
rnacentral:rRNA from 1 species